rnacentral:miRNA from 1 species
GGUUAGUGCAAAAGUAAUUGCAGUUUUUGCCGUUACCUUUAAAGGCAAAAACCACAAUUACUUU